rnacentral:rRNA from 1 species
GUAGGUGGCAAGCGUUGUCCGGAAUUAUUGGGCGUAAAGCGCGCGCAGGCGGUUCUUUAAGUCUGAUGUGAAAGCCCACGGCUCAACCGUGGAGGGUCAUUGGAAACUGGAGAACUUGAGUACAGAAAAGGAAAGCGGAAUUCCACGUGUAGCGGUGAAAUGCGUAGAGAUGUGGAGGAACACCAGUGGCGAAGGCGGCUUUCUGGUCUGUAACUGACGCUGAGGCGCGAAAGCGUGGGGAGCAAACAGGGAUUAGAUACCCUGGUAGUCCACGCCGUAAACGAUGAGUGCUAAGUGUUAGGGGGGUUUCCGCCCCCUUAGUGCUGCAGCUAACGCAUUAAGCACUCCGCCUGGGGAUACGGCCGCAAGGCUG